UGUGACACUGCAAGAGGGUUCACAAAUCAAGCUCUCAGAAGAAAACCGCCAUCUCUUCCCGUCUUGAGCCCCUUGGGAGAGCGAUGCAGUGGAGCAGGCCCCCUGUCCACCCAGCCUGCUGGGCUCCGCAGCCCCAGCUCUUGCCCGGGAAUGGCCGGUCCAGCAGCCAAUUAAUGAGCUGGACCCUGGACUUCACUAAAGUAAGAGCUGCCGUCCCACGAGACGCUCACAUGGUUGGACGGGCAGUGGCACGUGAGCAGACACCGUGACACGCGUCCCUCAGAGGACUCGUGUCCACACAGGGCGAGGAACUCCUAUGAUCCACACGAAAACAUCAGACAACGCGACAGAAAAACGGCAAACACAAUGCAGGCGCCGUACAAGACCAGCAGGCAUCGGCCAGCGGGACCAGGAGGCAUCUCUGUCCCCAGACACUGCUCCUGGGGGACGCCAGCUUUGGGCCCUGCACGUCAGGGACAGUGCAGCGAGGCCACACAGCACCACAGAGCCUUCUCUGGAAAAGCGGCCCUGGCCACGCCAGGCACUCACGACAGAGGCCGGAUACUCGAGCAGAGGCAGGUUCCUGGGUCCUCAGUGGCCACGGGGUCCUGAAGUGGGGCUGAGUCCCAACCAAGCAGGGACCCACUCGCCACACAGAGCACAAGCCAGUGCUCACCAGCAGAUGGAGGGAAGUAGCCAAGUGCAAACGCCAUGCCAGGGGGCUCCGUUUAUACAAAGGUGCAAAUCCAGGCUGCUGGAGGCAGGGAUGGAGUCAGCCACAGGGCUCGAGGCCCAGGACUGCUAAUCCCCAGUCUGGGCGCUGACCCCCGAGAGCUCACUCUGCAGACGUGAGUCACCGUGGGCUGCCUCUCUCCACCAUGCUGGGCUUCAGCACAGUCUCAAUAAGAAGAAGAAUGGAUGUGAACAUUAAGAGGGAAAAUCAGAAAGUGGAGGCUACAGCUGGCUGUGAUCGCACCACUACACUCCAGCCUGGCGGGGAGGGGAGGGCCACCACUCCAUUUUCAUUAAACCACUAGAACCCCACGGCCAGGGAAGGAGGCAGCCCAGGAACACUGCCUGAAGCAGAGGUGGGGGACACGGCAGUCCCAGGAGGCCGGAGGGACCCCUGAGACUGGGUGGAUGUGGCUGAGGAUGGGAGGGGGCCCUGCCAACUCCAGGACACAGGCCAGCCUGGGCCUCACAGGCCAGCCUGGGCUUCACAUGCCAGCCCUCCACCUGGGCAGCACUGCAACCCAGCGCUUUGCAUCUCAGGCCAGUUCAGGAGACACCCUGGCCCGGGAGAGGCUGCAGGUGAGCAGUGAGGAGGGGCCACAGCAAAGCCCCCCACUCCGGCUCUGGCUCAGGGGCCUGAGCCCCACAGGUUGACCCCCGAGCAAGGCCCGGUGAGGAGCCCAGCCCCACUCGGAGACUGAGUCCAGUGCAGAGGCUCUGCCUGCAGGGCUGGGCUCCCGAUCCGUGCCCCGGCUGCGAGUUGGAGCACAGGACUCCCUGUAAUUCUCAGGGGCAUAAACCUCCUGGCCAGCUUGGCCUCUCCAAUGCUCCCUCCUCACCCUGCCCAGGACCGCGAGAGCUUCCACAGGAACGGGUGGAUGUUUUACAAGCAGAGCUCUCCCUGUCAGUGACUAAGAGGAGCCCCCACCCAGCAGCCGGGCUCUGCUUCUUCAGGGAGACCCCACAUGGCCUCAUCUGUCCACAGACCUCACCUGUCGGGUGGCACUGCCUCCCUCACCUGGCGUGAGACCCUGCCGAGGUGGGCACCAAGGCCUGGGCCAGGGCAGGCUCCAGCACCAGGGGCUUCCUUUUCCUGUGGCACCAGUGAGCCCCAGACAAGGAGGGGGUCCCGUGGGCAGCUCUACAGCCAUCAGGGAAGGCAGCUGGCUCUGCCCUCCCCACGGCCUCCUGCAGCCUCCUGGCUGGGCCUCCCCAUGAGCAGCUUCCACAGGCGGCAGCCAGAGAAACCCCACCUUGCCCUCGGAGGCCCCGCGGAGCCCAGCCACCACCCAGGGUGACCCACAGGCCCUCCCCAUGGGCCCCUGUGGCACUAUUCCCCUCGGCGGGGCCUCUGAGGGCAGCCCCCAGGUGGUGCACCGCUGCGUCCUGUUUGGCCAGGACCGCACCAGCUUCAGCUUUGACUGAAUGGCUGCGUGAAUGAAACAUAAGAACCAGAGAGAAUCUGUGCCAGGCUUCUGUGACAGCGGCAGCCCCUGUGUCCCGAGGACCCGCCCAGCACAGGCCGCUUCUAGCCAUCCCAGCACUGACUAUGCCUCACCCAGAGCAGGUCCAGGUGGACACAGUUCCACCGGCCAGCCCAGCUCCAUGGCCCCACCCGGGUCAUGACCCAGAGCAGGUCCAGGUGGACACAGUUCCACCGGCCAGCCCAGCUCCAUGGCCCCACCCGGCUCAUGACCCAGAGCAGGUCCAGGUGGACACAGUUCCACCGGCCAGCCCAGCUCCAUGGCCCCACCCGGGUCAUGACACUUGACUCUCCAGAUCUCUGCAGACCCUCCCAUCCCCACUGGGGGCUGUCUUGGAGGGAGGUCACUCCCUCCUGCCCCAGCAGCUCCCCACUGCCUGCUCUGCCACCAGCUGGGGGCAGGCUCUGCAGGGUUCCUGCUCCCAGGAUCCACACACUGACCUUAGCUUUUGCCCAUGGAGCACCCAAGAAGGGUGAGGCAUGGCCUGGGCUGAGCUCCCCCACUCCAGCCUCCUCUACACAGGGACCUUCGCCACAGAAUGGCACAGGCCAGGGAGGCCGACGCAGCAGUCUGCUGGCGGGGGGACAAGUGAGAGGGGCACUGCUCCUUAGGGUUGCAGGCCCCAUCCCCUGCCAGGCCGUCCACCUCCACCAGAUCCACACGCAACCUCCUCCUUGCCAGGAUCCCACCAGAAUCGGCCACAGCUGGAAUCACACUAAGCCGGGGCCUCCUCCCUGCCAAACACCUCCACUUAGCCAGAGCAGGGCUCAUCACAGGCAGCCGCAGAACCGACUGGAGGUCUUUGCUAGUAGGGGACAUGCAUCUGCCGAGCCCCGAGAUGGGCCCGGCAAUGGAGAUGAAGGACUUGGGACCGCAAAAAAGCCAAUGCCAUGAGCCCACACUGUGAUCCUUCUGCAGCAGGGGGCGCCUUCUGUCUCUGCGCCCAGACUCUCAGCCACAGCCAGCUUAGCCCAGGCCAGCAGCCACACUUGCCCGACCUGCUGGCUAAUGGACCCCGGCCAUACGCCAUUGGACCUUUCCAACAAGACAGGGGCAGGGUGCCCCAUGUGUGA